rnacentral:lncRNA from 1 species
AGCUUGAGGCUACCUACCCUGCAUGCCUCCUUGUUUACAACUUCCAGUACAAACGUAUAUCAUGUUUGUUUUCAGACAAAACAUCAGCUUUCCUGAUUUCUGGAAUUAACCUAUAUUCAUAUUAGCAGCAGCCUUUUACACAGUUUUUGCAUACACGGGCUUUCAGCAACAUGAGCACGCAGAGCUGUGCUCCGACACAGCCAAGAGUUGUGCUCCUUGGCAUUAGGCGUGUGGUGCUAACGAGAUGUCACAAGCAGCUGCCUGGCACUUGGCAAGCAUCUGCUGCUCAGGUAAGCACUCUAAAAGCCAUUUACAAAUAUAAGACGUAACAUCACUGCACAUAGCUCUGGGAAUGUAAAGUGGGCUUAUAUACGAAAGGCUGGAUUUUGAAAUUCAGUGUUUUGUUUACAGGUAGCAGGUCUGUUGUCAUCCUUGGCAUGUGAGAGCCUGAACUCCCAGCAUCUCCAAGAGUGCAGGUGAGUGUCCUGACUGCCUGAGCCCUCCUCCCAUGCUACUUGUCUCUCAUCCAGUAAUUUUGGUAUUCUUUUUUUGGUACAGACACAAUAAACCCAGUGGAGAGAGCCUCUGCUUGGGAUAGCUCACCUUGUUCAGCGAGCAAAUUGGGUGAUAAGGGAUUGCAUGUUCCAACAAAUGAACAUGAAGUGCUGACUCCUUGAAUUCAUCACAUCUUCCGUGAAGAACAACAUUCUCCUCUCAUGCAGGCCACUUCCAUAUGAUCUCAUCUCCACAGCAAACUUGGUGAGAGCUCAGUUCUUCUGCUCCCCAAAAACCCAGUCCUUAGCAGUCAACUUGGAGAAAAAGCUGCCCUUGCAGCCCAGAUCCCUGGCCACUUCUUGGACUAUUACGGCUGUCAGCUGGGGGUCCAGCUCUGCUCCUUGCUCAUCUCUCUCAAGAGGACUGCUGAAGUCUCCUCUUCACUCAAACGCGAUCGCUAGUAAGAACAUGCAUGCUUUCUCUUUCUGUCUUUUAAAUGUGAGCUCGUCUCCUGCUCAGGCUUAUUUAUACACGCUGGCACAUCAGAAAAGUGACUGGCUACAUUAAGUACUGUGGUUUCGUUUUAGUGGUUUGUGCAGUGUCCAAAAAACAUGAAUAAAGGACAUUAAAAAUACA